rnacentral:lncRNA from 1 species
UGUGUUCAAGACCAUACCAUUAUCAGAGCCAUAGAUGUUCGAUUUUUCUUUUUUUUUUUUGACAAUAUUCUGAGUAAUUAGCCAAGGUAACCCUUUAAACUCUCUCAUUUCUAUAAGCUAAAAUCUGUAACAAAUUUCUCCCAUUUUUGCUCUCUACUUUUUCUUUUGUUUCUUGUAAACUGUUGGCGUGGGAUUUCUAUUAUGUUUGUAUGUGGUUAAAUAUGAUGUGCAAGUGAUGAGUUUUGCUUGAGUUCUCGGCUGCAUAAUCUUGUUUUGGUCCUCAAACCAGGAGCAUGGAAUUUUUUUUAAAAUUUCAAUUUGACCCCUUACCUUUUAAAUAAAUCCACUAUGGCCCCAAAACUUGUGACAUUGAAUCAAUUUUCCCCC